GCCCCGUUGGUGUAGUGGUAACAUUCCCGGCGAGGUUAAUCCUCGUCUGCAUGCGGGCGUGGGAAGACGUCGGUUCGAUUCCGACACGGGUCU
rnacentral:tRNA from 1 species